rnacentral:tRNA from 1 species
UCCCUGGUGGCUCAGAUGGUAAAGCGUCUGCCUGCAAUGCGGGAGACCUGGGUUUGAUCCCUGGGUGGGGAA